rnacentral:rRNA from 1 species
UUGAAAGGGAAACGAUUGAAGUCAGUCGUACCAGCGGGAAAUCAACCUUUCGAGUGGGGUUUUGGAGUUUUGAAGAGUGUCAAAACCUUUGAGAUUUCAAAAUUUUCGCUCCUUUGGUGUACUUUCUCGUGGGUAGGUUAACAUCGAUUUCGAUCAUCAUAAAAGGAUUGGAGGAAUGUAGCUUCGAUCUUGUAUUGAAGUGUUAUAGCCUUUGGUAAAUGUGAUGAUUGGGAUCGAGGAUUGCAACGAAUACCCUUUUGGGCUAUCCGCCUGAUCUCUGAUACGUGGCCUUGGCAUCGAAAGCUUGCUUAUGGUAUUGAGGUAUUACGGUCAAAAGGUUAGAACGGAUUACAUUCGUUAAGGAUGUUGACGUA